AUUGAACGCUGGCGGCAGGCCUAACACAUGCAAGUCGAGCGGAUGAAGGGAGCUUGCUCCUGGAUUCAGCGGCGGACGGGUGAGUAAUGCCUAGGAAUCUGCCUGGUAGUGGGGGAUAACGUCCGGAAACGGGCGCUAAUACCGCAUACGUCCUGAGGGAGAAAGUGGGGGAUCUUCGGACCUCACGCUAUCAGAUGAGCCUAGGUCGGAUUAGCUAGUUGGUGGGGUAAAGGCCUACCAAGGCGACGAUCCAUAACUGGUCUGAGAGGAUGAUCAGUCACACUGGAACUGAGACACGGUCCAGACUCCUACGGGAGGCAGCAGUGGGGAAUAUUGGACAAUGGGCGAAAGCCUGAUCCAGCCAUGCCGCGUGUGUGAAGAAGGUCUCCGGAUUGUAAAGCACUUUAAGUUGGGAGGAAGGGCAGUAAGUUAAUACCUUGCUGUUUUGACGUUACCAACAGAAUAAGCACCGGCUAACUUCGUG
rnacentral:rRNA from 1 species